GAGGAAUAUUGGUCAAUGGACGGAAGUCUGAACCAGCCAUGCCGCGUGAAGGAUGAAGGCGUUCUGCGUUGUAAACUUCUUUUAUUUGAGAAGAAACCACUUUUUUCUAAGAGUGUUGACGGUAUCAGAUGAAUAAGCACCGGCUAACCCCGUGCCAGCAGCCGCGGUAAUACGGAGGGUGCAAGCGCUAUCCGGAUUUACUGGGUUUAAAGGGUGUGUAGGCGGACUUUUAAGUCAGGGGUGAAAUCCCGGGGCUCAACCCCGGAACUGCCUUUGAUACUAUUAGUCUUGAAUUAUGUUGAGGUUGGCGGAAUAUAACAUGUAGCGGUGAAAUGCAUAGAUAUGUUAUAGAACACCGAUUGCGAAGGCAGCUGGCUAAACAUAUAUUGACGCUGAGGCACGAAAGCGUGGGUAGCGAAC
rnacentral:rRNA from 1 species